GAUUUCAGUGAAUUAUGCCUUUUCGGUUUGGGACCCAGCCAAGGAGGUUUCCAGUGGAAGGAGGAGAUUCUUCGAUUGGGCUAGAAUCAGGCCUGAGCUCCAGUGCUGCCUGUAAUGGGAAAGAGGCGUCACCCAAUAGGCAACUGCGAAGAUGCCCUGGAAGUCAUUGCCUGACAAUAACGGAUGUUCCCAUCACUGUCUACGCAACAAUGAGAAAGCCACCUGUGCCAAGCAGCAAGGAAAUGCAUCCCAAAUAGCAUCAUUAAGUCUUCUGUCGAGGGUUGGCUAGGUCAAGGGUAAUGGGCCAGUAUCAUCUUAUGGUCUGUCUCGUAAACAAAUAAAGGUGGUGGCAC